CUCCAUCGCAGCCCUUAAAACGUAUUAUUAAGUUACUAAUAGGCCAUUGCUUACCAUCUCUCUCCGCCGCUAGAAUUUAAGCUCCAUGAGAGCAGAGAUGCUAUUUUUGUUUUAGUUGGAAUUUUUUUUUUCUGUUUUCUCAAAAGUAGUGGCUAAAUUGUAUUUCUGGAUUUGGCUUUUUCCCCUAGCCUGGUUUCCCACCUGUGUCAUGAAGGUGGUGGGAAGGAUGCUCUAAUUUCUCUGAACCAAAGGGGCCUUGUGGUUGGGCACACACCCUAAUAUGCCUUGCAUGCUUCUUCCCCUCCCUCAAAUUAAUAGUGCUCUUUUUUUUGGUCCCCUCCAAGUAUGUAGCAUCAAUCCCAAGGGAAGAAAGCAAGAUCACCUACUUCUUCCAAAAUUGAUGUCUUGUGUUAGUCAUUUAGAAAUAACAACAGAGGGUCUGACUCCCGGUCGCCUGUAUCACAGCAUAGACACAUGGACCCGCGCAGGUCAUUCAUUCAUUCAUUUAUUCACCACAUGUACAUGGGGCUCCUACAGUGUGCCAGGUACUGUUCUGGACUCUGCAGACGCAGUGGUGAACCAGACAACAGUGACAAUGGGACCUCUCCCCCCAGAACCCCCAUGCCAGUGCUGGGGGGAGAUCUGAAAGAAGCCAGCACGGCAAGUGUGUCAGGUGGUGGUAAGAGCUGGGCAGAAAGCCAGAGCAGGGCCUGCCCACCGCCUCCCUUUCCUGCAUGCGUCUUUCACCUCCUCGCCCCUCACAGGCGAGGCUCCAGCCCUGCUGAAGCUUUUUCCUGGUUCUUAAACCUGCUGGCUCCCCCAGGCCUCCGGGUCUUCGUCCACGCUGUUCCCUUUGCCUAGAGCUCUCUUCCUCCUACCAAAGUCCUACUCAGGCCUCAGCUUCCCUAUCCACUCCUCAGAGGCCGUCCUUGAUCCCACAGAACUCGCUGAGGCCCCCUAAGUCUGAGGCCCCACCUCUGCUUACCCAUCACAUCCUCCGUUACACUCCACUGUAAGAUCCUUGAGGGCAGGUGCCGAGCCUGUCUUGUCCUCAGCUCUGUCCUAUUACAGCACAUGGCAUAUGAUCUGUGUUCCAGAAAUAGAUGUUGGACGCAUGAUUGAGUGAAGGAGCCCCAGGUCUUGGGAAGAUAGAGGCCACACAGCCCUGGGAGCUGAAGUGAGUGUGUCCCAGGAAUUUGGCCCCAGCGGUGAACACAGCUGCUGUAGCUGCUGUUGGUUUUCAGUACAUCACGUUGUCCCACGUCUCAGGCAGAUCACGAGGGUCUGGCCUUCUGGGACGGGAGGAGAGGAGUGACGGGACAGCUGUGACAUCUCCGUCUUGGAAACUUCCUACACCAGCAGCUGUGGGUCCCAGUCCCUUGGCGUGCCACGGAGAGUGUGUGGAGACAGACGAACACCAGCUGGUCCCCCAAGGGACCCUUCCAACCUCCCUAAGAACAGAAGUGUCUCCUGAUGGCCAUCUUGGAGGGAUGCCAACCAUCCGGUAUUGUAGCUGUUUUUAUCAAGGAACAUCACAUUCUGAGGGAACACAGAGCCCUUCCACGUGAGCUGCUGAUCCUUGGGACGCUGGCUAUACAAGGACGUCGUCUUGGCCAGCACAUAGCCUUUGUUCUCCUGCCUGUAUGAGCAACCCCUCCCUGUUCACGGCAGUGGUGCAGGUGCGCAACUCCGUCCAGCCAGCCGCUCCUGGACACUCCCCCCCUCUGAAGUGGGUGAAACAGACGCCUGGGAGGUUAACCAGCUUGCUCCAAGUUGCUCAGUUUCGGCAGCGACAG